rnacentral:antisense_RNA from 1 species
GGGGGGGAGACAAGAUGGCGGCUGCGGGAGGGGGUCCUCGCUUCUCAGCUCCCCCGCUCACCCGCCUUCUCCUUCCCUGCCGCCGCCCUCGCUCCAGGAGAGAGCUUUCGCACCGCCCCCGCCCUGCUCGGUGCCCAGAAAGUCGCGUCUCCCCUAACCCCCAUGCCCAGGACCUGAGGACAAAGGUCUAGCGAUUGUCCAUCCCCUCCCCCAGUGAGAACAGCCGGGAAAGACCUGCCUUUGUUGUGUACAGAUGGUGUCUCACUGUGUUAUCCAGACUGGACUCAAAUUUCUGGGCUCCAAUGGUCCUCUCACCUCAGCCUCCCAAGUAGUCAGGACUACAGAACUCCAUGGCAAUGUUUUGAGGAUUAAAGAGGAGAGUGAUGACUAUCCAAACGUCAGAGAACGCAACUAUGAGACUAGAGACACUGGAAAACUAAAAAAGUAAUGGGCCUUUGCUGACUCAGGGAGAUGAUUUCCCAAGAGGGAAGAAAACUGGAACCUGAGAAAUAAGUGAUUUAGUAAUGUGGCUGCUAAAAUACGGAAAAACUAGAAUGAAUGAGAAGUUAGAAGAGGGUUAUACUGUGAAGAAGAAUGAAAAAGCCAAACAUUUCAUUCAGGUAAGCAUAUCACAUAGGAGAAACUCUAGGUGACUUUGGUUUGGCAGUGAGUUUUUAGAUACAACACCAAAGCACAAUCCAUAAAAGAAAAGAAAGAUAGAUAAGUUGGACUUCAUUAAAAUGAAAAACUUCUGCUCUGCAAAGACACUGUUAAGAGAAUGAAAAUACAUGCCACAGACUAUGAGAAAAUAUGUGCAAAACACCUAUCUGAUAAAGGAAGUAUGUCUAAAAUACAAAGAACUCUUAAAACUCAGCAAUAAGAAAAUGAACAACCUGAUUAAAAUAUGGGCAAGAGAGCUGAAUGGAAACCUCCCCAAAGAAUAUAUGUAGAUGGCAAAUGAACAUAUGAAAAGAUUCUCAACACAAUAUGUCACUAGAAAAUUGCAAAUUAAAACAAGAUAGCACUAUACACUUAUUAGAUGAGCUAAAAUCCAAAAUACUAAGAACAGCAAAUGCUGAUGAGGUUGUGGAGCAACAGGAGCUCUCAUUCAUUGCUGGUGGGAAUGCAAAAUGAUGCAGCCACUUGGAAGACAGUCUGGCAGUUUCUUAAAGAUUAAACAAAGUCUUACCAGACACUCCA